AAUCAACGCUGGCGGCGUGCCUAACACAUGCAAGUCGAACGAGAAAGUGGAGCAAUCCAUGAGUAAAGUGGCGACCGGGUGAGUAACACGUGACUAACCUGCCCUAGAGUGGGGGAUAACCUCGGGAAACCGGGGCUAAUACCGCAUAACAUCGCGAGGGGAAGAUCCUUGCGAUCAAAGGAGCAAUUCGCUCAAGGAGGGGGUCGCGGAUGAUUAGCUAGUUGGUGAGGUAACGGCUCACCAAGGCGAAGAUAAGUAGCCGGCCUGAGAGGGCGAUCGGCCACACGGGAACCGGAGCACGGUCCAGAAUCCUGCGGGGGGCAGCAGUGAGGAAUUUGGCGCAAUGGGGAAACCCGGACGCAGCAACGCCGCGUGGAGGAUGAAGUCCCUUGGGAUGUAAACUCCUUUCGAUCGGGACGAUAAUGACGGUACCGGAAGAAGAAGCACCGGCUAACUCUGUGCCAGCAGCCGCCGUAAAAC
rnacentral:rRNA from 1 species